CUCUUGUUGUCCAGGCUGGAGUGCAAUGGCGUGAUCUCAGCUCACUGCAACCUCCGCCUCCUGGGUUCAAGCAAUUCUCCUGCCUCAGCCUCCCCAGUUGCUGGGAUUACAGAGAUGAAGUUUUGCCAUGUUGCCCAGGCUGGUCUUGAACUUCUGGACUCAAGCAAUCCUCCCACCUUGGUUUCCCAAAGUGCUGCGAUUACAGACAUGAGCCACCACGCCUGGCCUCUGGAUGUUUUUAUCAAGAUGUUGUCUUGUCCGAAGAUUGAGAGGCCCAGGGAGGUUCCUUUCUGUGCACGUCAGAAGAUGACAGGCAAGAAAACAAAGUGGAAAACAAUAAGGAAGUGAAGGUAACCCCUUUAUAACCUCCCACUGGUUCAUUCCUUGGAAAUAGAAAUGACUCAGGCAGGCAGAUGAGGAUAAAUAAAACGCUGCCUUGAAACAGUCUCUAUGCUUAGCUAGAUUCUGUCUGCAGCUGCUUUCUGCAGAAUCCUGCAAAUUGGGUUUGUCAUCUGACCGUGUCUCUCUCCUCCUGUGUCUCUACAUCUAUUUCAGGUCCCUGGGUUUGCUCGUGUCUGUUGCCUUGGUUCCUCUGCUGUGUUCCUCUAACUGUGGGCAAUGCCUCCAUCCAUUUCUAGAAGUAAAUGUGUUGAUGGCAUUUUAUCACCUGUGUAGUUCCUCU